CAGUCGUACCUUCGGGUAAUCAGCCUUUCGGGUGCGAUUCUGUGGAGUGUGAGGAGUUAAACACCUUCAUGCUUUGCAUAUUCGUACUCUUGGGUGUACUUGCCCGUGUGGUUGGUUAACAUCAAUUUUGGUGGUCAUAAAAUGACUGGAGGAAUGUAGCUUCGAUCUUGUAUUGAAGUGUUAUAGCCUUCGGUAGAUGUGAUGAUCAAGAUUGAGGAUUGCAACGGAUACCCUUCGGGGCUACCUGUCUGGUCUCUGAUCGUUGCUCUGGUGCCGAAAGCUUGCUUAUGAUGUUAGGGUAUUACGGUCAAAAGGUUAGAACGAAUUACA
rnacentral:rRNA from 1 species